rnacentral:rRNA from 1 species
UCGGGAAUUUUGGGCAAUGGGCGAAAGCCUGACCCAGCAACGCCGCGUGAAGGAUGAAGUAUUUCGGUAUGUAAACUUCGAAAGAAUAGGAAGAAUAAAUGACGGUACUAUUUAUAAGGUCCGGCUAACUACGUGCCAGCAGCCGCGGUAAUGCGUAGGGACCAAGCGUUGUUCGGAUUUACUGGGCGUAAAGGGCGCGUAGGCGGCAAUUCAAGUCAUCUGUGAAAUCUCCGGGCUUAACUCGGAACGGUCAGAUGAUACUGCUUUGCUAGAGUGCAGAAGGGGCAAUCGGAAUUCUUGGUGUAGCGGUGAAAUGCGUAGAUAUCAAGAGGAACACCUGAGGUGAAGACGGGUUGCUGGGCUGACACUGACGCUGAGGCGCGAAAGCCAGGGGAGCAAACGGGAUUAGAUACCCCCGUAGUCCCUGAGCGGGCUGGCAAGGCGCAU